rnacentral:rRNA from 1 species
CCUACGGGGGGCAGCAGUAGGGAAUUUUCGUCAAUGGGCGCAAGCCUGAACGAGCGAUGCCGCGUGAGUGAAGAAGGCCUUCGGGUCGUAAAGCUCUGUUGCGGGGGAAAAAAGGCAGCAUCAGGAAAUGGGUGCUGACUGAUGGUGCCCCGCCAGAAAGUCACGGCUAACUACGUGCCAGCAGCCGCGGUAAUACGUAGGUGGCGAGCGUUAUCCGGAAUGAUUGGGCGUAAAGGGUGCGCAGGCGGUCCUGCAAGUCUGGAGUGAAACGCAUGAGCUCAACUCAUGCAUGGCUUUGGAAACUGGAGUACUGGAGAGGCAGACGGAAUUCCUAGUGUAGCGGUGAAAUGCGUAGAUAUUAGGAGGAACACCAGUGGCGAAGGCGGUCUGCUGGACAGCAACUGACGCUGAGGCGCGAAAGCGUGGGGAGCAAACAGGAUUAGAUACCCUUGUAGUC